CAAAUGUUAUCUCAUUGUGUCUGCUGUUACUUGGACUUGAAACUUGAUGAUCCCCAAAGCUUAAAAGUGGAAGAUAUCUUCUGCAAUGAUUUUUCCGCUGAGCGGAACCCAGUUAUUUGUUUAUUUGGAGAAUCAUUUCUUACAUUCUCCUUGCAUUUUCUUGCACUCCCUUCAAGGGAAUAACUUGAAACUUUUUCUUCAGCAUCCCAUUCCCAUUCUCUUGCUUCUUCAAAUUUACUUGUGUUGGGAAUAGAGUCAUUUGAAUGAUUCAGCAAAUGCUGGCUACUACACUGAUUUUCUGAUCCGAAGCUACCCGUCUGGAUUUUGGAUACAUCAUUUUCAGGAGAGUAUAUAUCACUUGGCUUUGGGGACAUGCAAAAGAGUUCCUUGAGAUCUUUAAUAUUUAUAGACUUAGCUACUUGUCUGAACAAUUCAGCUUUUCUCAACUCCCCCACAUCCAAGGUACCCCCUCUUGACCUUAGAAAAGCUUCAAGAUCUGCUAUGAAUUUAUUCAUUUGACAAUACUUAUCAUCGAGAGCUAAUUUCGCAUCAGCCAUCUUCAUAUGAACCCGUUCCUCGCACCAUGCCUCAGCAAUCUGCAACAUUUUCCUCUCUUCUUCCACUUGUUCCCUAAUGUUGAUGGAUUCCAUCUUCAAUGUUUCAACUAUGGCUUUAUCUUCUGCAAUUUUAUGUGCUAGUUCUUUACAUACUUCCUCCAUUAAUUCUCUGCCCCUUUUCUCUUCCUCGGAAUAUUUCAUGAAUUGCUUUUCAGACAAUUUGAAAUCUGCCAAUUCAUCGAUCAAUUUAGAAUUGAGAAUUUCGAUGGUUUGAUAGUUUUUCCUUUGCUUUCUUAAUUCAUUUUUCAAAUCAUCUAUAACUGCAAGAAUUUUCUGAUGUUCUCUCCUGUGCCAUGAAGUUCUUUUUUCCACAAGUUUCCUCGAUAAACGCUUGAUUUCCUUCUGAGAGGACGGUUGCUCGACAUCAAGCUAUUGUGCAUGCACCAGUUCAGCUUGAAUAUUGGAAGAAGUAACAGAUGCAGCACUAGAAAUCGUAUGUUCUUUAAGAAGUUUCAUGCCGCCCCAGCUGUUCACCUGAUUAGUUAUUCUGGAGCUCAUAGGGUCCCAUUUUUGUCGCCCCCUCCAUUGUACGCUUGGAAUAAAGCAAGGACUAUGAG
rnacentral:misc_RNA from 1 species